rnacentral:tRNA from 5 species
GCCCCCGUAGUUUAAUGGAUAAAGCGUAACUUUGCGGAAGUUAAGAUGAGGGUUCGAUUCCUUCCGGGGGCGCAA